rnacentral:lncRNA from 1 species
AUGGCUACUAAACUUAUGCAAGCUGUUCAGUACAAUUCCUAUGGUGAAGGUGUCUCUGGAUUGAAGCAUGUUGAAGUUUCUGUUCCAACUCCAAAGACCAAUUAAGUUUUAAUCAAAUUGGAAGCAACUAGCAAUAACCCAGUUGAUUGGAAUUCAGAAGGGUGCUCUUCAUGCUUUAUAUUUUCCUCGAAAAUUUCCCCAUAUACCUU